rnacentral:lncRNA from 1 species
CGUUACUAUAACCUGUCCAGCAUUCAGCAAUUUUCACUAGAUCAAAAAAAGGACAAGCACCCACUGCUUCGGUAGCUCUUUAGAAGCAUUUGGGCCUAGCCAAAUUUAGUUCUACCGAGUUCGGUUUGAACACGGGGUGGUCCACCCAACGAGUAUUUCAACUUUUUUUUGUCAUUUUUUACCCAUCCUCCUUUAAUUAUUAAUUUUAAAAACCGGUGCGGG